GGCCUUUUUUCCAAUAGUCUUGAACGGAUGCAAAUUAGAGAAUUGCAAGCCACUGAGGCUGACUUUGCAUGGGCUAUUCGGCCAUUGGAGAAGAGUACAAAGCUGGAUUUCCAUUUUGCUCAGGGCCCUAGAGCUCGUGUGUGUGCUUUCUCUUCAACUCCUGUCCUUUUUGUCUUCUUCACAGAUGGCAGAAGAUUUUCAAGUCCCGGCUGGUGGAGUUGUUAGUGUCCUAUGGCAACACCUUCUUUGUGGUUCUCAUUGUCAUCCUUGUGCUGUUGGUCAUCGAUGCCGUGCGCGAAAUUCGGAAGUAUGAUGAUGUGACGGAAAAGGUGAACCUCCAGAACAAUCCCGGGGCCAUGGAGCACUUCCACAUGAAGCUUUUCCGUGCCCAGAGGAAUCUCUACAUUG
rnacentral:sRNA from 1 species